UACGAAGGGGGCUAGCGUUGCUCGGAAUCACUGGGCGUAAAGCGCACGUAGGCGGAUUGCUAAGUCAGGGGUGAAAUCCUGGAGCUCAACUCCAGAACUGCCUUUGAUACUGGCGAUCUUGAGUCCGGGAGAGGUGAGUGGAACUGCGAGUGUAGAGGUGAAAUUCGUAGAUAUUCGCAAGAACACCAGUGGCGAAGGCGGCUCACUGGCCCGGUACUGACGCUGAGGUGCGAAGGCGUGGGGAGCGAACGGGG
rnacentral:rRNA from 1 species